rnacentral:misc_RNA from 1 species
UACGUAGGGUGCAAGCGUUGUCCGGAUUUAUUGGGUUUAAAGGGUGCGUAGGCGGCCUAAUAAGUCAGUGGUGAAAUCCUGCGGCUCAACCGUAGAUGUGCCAUUGAUACUGUUAGGCUUGAGUACAGACGAGGUAGGCGGAAUUUAUGGUGUAGCGGUGAAAUGCAUAGAUACCAUAAAGAACACCGAUAGCGAAGGCAGCUUACUAGGCUGUAACUGACGCUGAGGCACGAAAGCGUGGGUAGCGAACAGG